UACGUAGGGCGCAAGCGUUAUCCGGAAUUAUUGGGCGUAAAGAGCUCGUAGGCGGUCUGUCGCGUCGGCUGUGAAAACCCGGAGCUCAACUCCGGGCCUGCAGUCGAUACGGGCAAACUAGAGUACUGCAGGGGAGACUGGAAUUCCUGGUGUAGCGGUGAAAUGCGCAGAUAUCAGGAGGAACACCGGUGGCGAAGGCGGGUCUCUGGGCAGUAACUGACGCUGAGGAGCGAAAGCGUGGGGAGCGAACAGG
rnacentral:rRNA from 1 species